UAGGGAAUCUUCGGCAAUGGGGGGAACCCUGACCGAGCAACGCCGCGUGAGUGAAGAAGGUUUUCGGAUCGUAAAGCUCUGUUGUUAAGGAAGAACGAGUGCGAGAAUGGAAAGUUCAUACUGUGACGGUACUUAACCAGAAAGGGACGGCUAACUACGUGCCAGCAGCCGCGGUAAUACGUAGGUCCCGAGCGUUGUCCGGAUUUAUUGGGCGUAAAGCGAGCGCAGGCGGUUAGAUAAGUCUGAAGUUAAAGGCAGUGGCUCAACCAUUGUAGGCUUUGGAAACUGUGUAACUUGAGUGCAGAAGGGGAGAGUGGAAUUCCAUGUGUAGCGGUGAAAUGCGUAGAUAUAUGGAGGAACACCGGUGGCGAAAGCGGCUCUCUGGUCUGUAACUGACGCUGAGGCUCGAAAGCGUGGGGAGCGAACAGG
rnacentral:rRNA from 1 species